UGCCUGGUUAGCAUAUUUCUGUGGCUGUCUGUAAUAAACACUUACCAUGGAGGGGAGAAACGAGAAGUUGUUCUCCAGGAAAAGAAGUUUCACAUUCGGAGCUUACGGAGGGAUUGACAAGUUCAUCACUGGAAAUGAGAGCAGCUGUGCAGAAUCUGUGGGUCACAGCAUACUGGAUAUUUUGGAUUCCCCCUCCAGUGAGGCUAAGCCACUCACUUCUGCACC